rnacentral:lncRNA from 10 species
CUGGAAUACAUUUUGGACUCUGAUACCAUUGUAAUGAUGAGUAGCAAAGCAGUUGCUUAAGGAAGCAGAAAAGAAGGGAUUCCUGCCAGCUGGUAUUCAAUUCUACCUGCCCAUCCCUUCCAAGAACAAUUAUCAACACAGAAGACGACUAGAGGGGAAAACUGGGUGGUCUUGUGGAACCAAGCCCCCAACCUGUGGAAUCCAACACUAUCUCUGGAUAGACAGUUUCAGAACUGAACUGUGGACACGCAGCUGGUGUCUGCUGCAGUCGCAAGUCUGGGCCUCCAGAACUUCUGACCAAUAGUCUUCAAGUUGGGGUUCCUACAACCUCCUCUUUGGGUUUAAUUUGCUGGAGCGGCUCACAGAACUCAAGGAAACACUUACUUUGGCUGACUGAUUUAUCAUGAAGGAUAUUUAAAAGCAUACAAAUAAACAAGCAGAUGAAGAGAUACAGACGGCAAGGUCUGGAAGGGUCCCAAGCACAGGAACUUCUGUCCUUGUGGGCUUAGGGUGUGCCACCCUCCUGGCAGGUGGAUGAGUUGUUCUUUACCUUUCUGCCAGCCUCCACGUGCUAAGCUCUCUGGAAGCUUCCCAAACCCUGUCCUUUAAGCCUUUCAUGGAGACUUCAUAGGUUAUCUAUGAUUGAAGCAUGGAUAAUGGUGUCAAAAUGUGAUUGGACAAGAAGUGUAUGAUGUAAACCCAGCAACGCCUAUCUGUUUAGAUCCUUCUUGGUCUCUCUGUGCAACAUUCCUUCCUCCAGAGUAUGGGGCAGGACCCUCUGUGCAAUGAGGGUCUUAUGACCCACAAGCAGAUUAGAGUCUUGCCUUGAGUGGGUGAAAGGAGGACAAGAGAAGGUCAGACAGAUUUUGUUUCCUGAAGCCUGCUUCUGAGGCCUAAAGUACCCGAGGAUUAUAAUAAAAGACUGUAACUCCCUGUUAUGGGAGUUCUUAUCUAGGAACUAUGGACAAAACCAUAUAUAUGUAUAUGGUUAUAUAGCGAUCUAUAUAAUAUAUUGUGAUCUGUAUAUAACAUAUAAUCAUAAUAUCACAUAUCAAAAGAGACUUUGCAGAUAUGAUUAAGUCAGAUAUCUUGAGAUGGGAAGAUUAUCCUAGAUUAUCUAGUUGGCAUGAUGUAAUCGCAAUGAUCUUUUUAAGAGAGAUGCAGGAGGAGUCAGAGUCAGAGGAGAGGGUAAUGUAAUGAUAUAAGUAGAGAGUAGAGUCCCACCCUUUGAAGAUAGAGAAAGGAGCCAUAAGCCAAGGAAUACAAGAAGCUGAAGAAGGCAAGGAAACAGAUUCUCCCCUCACAGCCUUCAGAAGGAAGCAGACCCGCUAAUACAUUAACCUUAACCCGCUGAAUCUGAUUUUGGACUUCAGACCUCCAGAACUGUAAGAGAAUAAACAUGUUUUGUUUUAAGCCACUAAGUUUGUGCUGAUUUGUUAUAGAGGUUACGGGAAGGUAACACAGAGACAUCACACACAGCCCCACUCACUAGAUUAAGAUACUAUUUAAUUUUACUAUGGUUGUAUUACAAAUGAUCACAAAUGCUAUGACUGAAAACAAUACAUAUGUAUUAUCUCCGUUUUUGUAGGUCAGGAAUUCAGGCACAAGUUAGCAGGGUCUGCUGUUCAGGUCUCACCAAGCUGUGAUCAAGCUGUUGUCUGGGGCUGGAGUAUCAUCUGUGGCUUAGGAUUCUCUUUUAAGCCAUACUUAUUAGCAGAUUGCAUCUUCUUCAAGCUGUAGAAGUUAUGGUGUUUUGGGGAGAGGGUCUCUGGCUUCUUUAUCUUUGACCUCUAGAUGAUCUGUUUAAAGGGCUCAUCUGAUUAAGUCAGACCCACUCAGAAUAAUGUCUCUUUUAAUUAAUUCAAAAGUCAACUGGUUUGGGACCAUAAUUUCAUCUUCAAAAUCUUUUCACCUUUGCCAUAUAACAUAACCUAAUCACAGAUAUCCCAUUCUAUUCAUAGAUCCCACCAACACUUAAGGGGAGGGAAUUAUACUGGGUGUGUACAUCAGGGGGUGGAAAUAUAGGGGACCAUAUCUUAGAGUUUUGCCUAAGUUUUGACAUUUUGCCUAAAAUGUCAUUUAUUAUAUGUAAUGUACCAUUUUAAUGUUUUCAGAGAUAUUAAUAUGUGUAUAUUUAACUUCCACAGGACUCGUUAAAACUCAUUCACCAUUUCCAUUUUUUCCAUAAAGUCUUAGGAUCUUAAACUAAAAUUCUCAUCCUUCUAGAGUUUGCAGAAAAUCUAAUGGAGAAAAUUAUUUUUC